rnacentral:rRNA from 1 species
GGGGAAUUUUGGACAAUGGGCGAAAGCCUGAUCCAGCCAUGCCGCGUGCAGGAUGAAGGCCUUCGGGUUGUAAACUGCUUUUGUACGGAACGAAAAGACUCUGGUUAAUACCUGGGGUCCAUGACGGUACCGUAAGAAUAAGCACCGGCUAACUACGUGCCAGCAGCCGCGGUAAUACGUAGGGUGCAAGCGUUAAUCGGAAUUACUGGGCGUAAAGCGUGCGCAGGCGGUUAUAUAAGACAGAUGUGAAAUCCCCGGGCUCAACCUGGGAACUGCAUUUGUGACUGUAUAGCUAGAGUACGGCAGAGGGGGAUGGAAUUCCGCGUGUAGCAGUGAAAUGCGUAGAUAUGCGGAGGAACACCGAUGGCGAAGGCAAUCCCCUGGGCCUGUACUGACGCUCAUGCACGAAAGCGUGGGGAGCAAAC